ensembl:misc_RNA 7SK 7SK RNA
AGAUGUGAGGGCAAUUGGGCUGCUAAAUCUGCCAUCCCAUUGAUCACCAGGGUUGAUAUGGCUUAUCUGGCUGGCCAGGCAGUGGCCCCUUCCUCCCUAACCACUCCGUGUGCAACCCUACUGAAGCUGUGCUCUUGGUCUAAGGGAACGACCACCCCCGAUAGAGGAGGACCCUUUCCUCAGUCAGUGGUAUAGAAGUAGCUGUGCUCCCACUAGAACCUCCAAGAAAGCUCUCAAGUUUAUAUGUCGGAGUGAGAUUUUCAGUUUAAUCUCCCUACCUAACCAAUGUGGAUAAUU